AUGCAACACCGUUUCGUUGUGUUUAUGCGUGGUGUAAUCGCCCGUUCAAAACUCUCCCAUCGUGAAGAUUUCGACGAUGUGAUGCUCCAACUGCAAACUUUUCUCCAAGUCCAUCGUCGUGAAAUUGUGCCAACCGACGAACACUUCUUUGCGGAGUGGAAACAAGCUAUUUCUGAAUACUUUUAAAAUGGUCAAGUUUAUGAGGAUGGGACCCAAAAUCUGUGAAUUUCAAAUGUUUUAAAAGCAGUUCAACGCAGGAAACUGUUACUUUUUCGUUAACCAAGUGUUCCAACACAUUGAACUUUGGCCUAACACCAAUCCGAACCGGGAGCACAUGAUCAAUUUGGCCCGUGCUUACCUCGAUGGACAAAUUGUGGAACUUCAACAAGAAGUUCACGCCGAGCUUGCCACCGACGAAGCUCGCUGCGCAUACCUCGACGGUGCGGCGAAGAACGCGUUCGGGCCGCCUCGCCCCUAAGU
ensembl:ncRNA Y77E11A.3 ncRNA